UACGAAGGGUGCAAACGUUGCUCGGAAUUAUUGGGCGUAAAGAGUUCGUAGGCGGUCCGUUAAGUCUGAUGUUAAAGAUCGGGCGUCACCAUCGGAUGGCCGGUGGAUACUGUCGGGCUCGAGUCCGGAAGAGGCGAGUGGAAUUCCUGGUGUAGCGGUGAAAUGCGCAGAUAUCAGGAGGAACACCAAUGGCGAAGGCAGCUCGCUGGGACGUGACUGACGCUGAGACGCGAAAGCGUGGGAGCAAACAGG
rnacentral:rRNA from 1 species